rnacentral:rRNA from 1 species
GACGAACGCUGGCGGCGCGCUUAACACAUGCAAGUCGAACGGAAAGGCCUGCUUUCCCUUGUGGAUUGCGGGUACUCGAGUGGCGAACGGGUGAGUAACACGUGAGUGAUCUGCCCCCAACUUGGGUAUAAGCCUGGGAAACUGGGUCUAAUUCCCGAUAGGGCUGCAGGGUGGUGCCUGUGGUGGAAAACGAUUUUCUAGUGGUUGGGGAUGAGCUCGCGGCCUAUCAGCUUGUUGGUGGGGUAAUGGCCUACCAAGGCGGCGACGGGUAGCCGGCCUGGGAGGGUGGACGGCCACAUUGGGACUGAGAUACGGCCCAGACUCCUACGGGAGGCAGCAGUGGGGAAUAUUGCACAAGGGGCGGAAGCCUGAGGCAGCGACGCCGCGUGGGGGAUGACGGCCUUCGGGUGGUAAACUCCUUUCGACCGCGAGGAAGCCACCUGGUUGGAAGGGUGGUGACGGUAGUGGUAGAAGAAGCACCGGCUAACUACGUG